UACAGAGGGUGCGAGCGUUAAUCGGAAUUACUGGGCGUAAAGGGCGCGUAGGUGGAGAUUUAAGUCGGAUGUGAAAUCCCUGGGCUUAACCUGGGAAUGGCAUACGAUACUGGAUGUCUAGAGUUGAGUAGAGGGAAGUGGAAUUUCCGGUGUAGCGGUGAAAUGCGUAGAUAUCGGAAGGAACACCAGUGGCGAAGGCGGCUUCCUGGACUCAAAACUGACGCUGAGGCGCGAAAAGCGUGGGGGAUCAAACAGGG
rnacentral:rRNA from 1 species